AGAGUUUGAUCCUGGCUCAGGAUGAACGCUGGCGGCGUGCCUAACACAUGCAAGUCGAGCGAUUCUCUUCGGAGAAGAGCGGCGGACGGGUGAGUAACGCGUGGGUAACCUGCCCUGUACACACGGAUAACAUACCGAAAGGUAUGCUAAUACGAGAUAAUAUACUUUUAUCGCAUGGUAGAAGUAUCAAAGCUCCGGCGGUACAGGAUGGACCCGCGUCUGAUUAGCUAGUUGGUAAGGUAACGGCUUACCAAGGCGACGAUCAGUAGCCGACCUGAGAGGGUGAUCGGCCACAUUGGAACUGAGACACGGUCCAAACUCCUACGGGAGGCAGCAGUGGGGAAUAUUGCACAAUGGGCGAAAGCCAGAUGCAGCAACGCCGCGUGAGCGAUGAAGGCCUUCGGGUCGUAAAGCUCUGUCCUCAAGGAAGAUAAUGACGGUACUUGAGGAGGAAGCCCCGGCUAACUACGUG
rnacentral:rRNA from 1 species